rnacentral:rRNA from 1 species
UACAGAGGGUGCGAGCGUUAAUCGGAAUCACUGGGCGUAAAGGGUGCGCAGGCGGCCAAGUGUGUUAGGCGUGAAAGCCCGGGGCUUAACCCCGGAAUUGCACCUAAAACUACAUGGCUAGAGCAUUGGAGAGGGUAGCAGAAUUCACGGUGUAGCAGUGAAAUGCGUAGAUAUCGUGAGGAAUACCAGAGGCGAAGGCGGCUACCUGGACAAUUGCUGACGCUCAGGCACGAAAGCGUGGGGAGCAAAAGGG